rnacentral:lncRNA from 1 species
AUACAAAGAAUCAUACAAUGAAAACAGUAAAAAAAGCUUGUUUAAGAAUUGUAUGUGUUUAAAUUAUGGUGAAAAUAUACAAAUUACAUUAUUAAUACAAUGUGUUCUUAUUGAUGUUGUCCUAUACAUCAUUAAUACAAUGUGUUCUUAUUGAUGAUGUCCUAUAAUACAAUAUGUUCUUAUUGAUGAUGUCCUAUAAUACAAUAUGUUCUUAUUGAUGAUGUCCUAUAAUACAAUGUGUUCUUAUUGAUGAUGUCCUAUAAUACAAUGUGUUCUUAUUGAUGAUGUCCUAUAAUACACUGUGUUCCUAUUGAUGAUGUCCUAUAAUACAAUGUGUUCCUAUUGAUGAGCGGGAUUAAACGUUUUAAUGGUAUCAAACCUUCUUCCGUUUAUGAAACAAUAGUAUAACAUCACAACAUAGAAAAACAUACUAUAAAAUAUCAUUUGGAAGGCUUAACGUAAUCAAAAAACUCAAAUUAGCACACAAUGAACGAAUUAAUUUGAUCUGUGAUAUCUGACUGCAAUACAUAGUUAAUAAAAAAUAAUACGGGCUAAAUAAUUAAGGCCAAAAGUAAAAAAAACCCAGGUUAAAACAAAUUUAAAGUAUGAUAUCACUGUGAAA